rnacentral:lncRNA from 1 species
GUGAAAACAAUGUUAAUUCAUUUGUGAGUUAUAAAACUGCUUGCCACCCUACUUAGAGUUUUAUCGAUAUCAGCUACCGACGCUAUUUGUGAUCACGAGUCAGUAUAAGUUUAGAGCUUUCAAUAACAAAAAUGGAAGAUAAACCAAGCGUAGCAGAAGUAGAAACAUUUGAUAAAAGUAAACUGAAAAAAACAGAAACAGUUGAAAAAAAUCCGUUGCCAACAAAAGAUGAAAUUACUGCAGAAAAGACUGCCGAAUAAUGAAGAUUCCUAUAUUAUACUAUACUUAAAAUUAUUGUAAAUCUUUCAUGGUAUAAAUAAAAAAAGCUCUAUUUA